rnacentral:lncRNA from 1 species
GCAGCUCGGGCAGCAGCAGCAGCAGCGGCACCCACAUCCUGGGGCGGCGGCGGGCGGCUGCUCCGGGAAGCGGAGGAGGGGGACUCUCCCCGGGAUGUCGCUCCCCCCGACGCCCGCUCUCCGGCUGGGAGGUCCCCGCUCAGAUCUUGGACCAGUGCCAUUGGGAUCAGGAGCAAACCCUGAAAAACCAGCCCACUCCUCUGUUAGAUGAACACCUGGGAUGACAAAAAGGAUGUGAGCACCGAUAGAGGGAAGAAAGAAAAAUAAAACAGCCUUUUGGAAAUGUUGCUGACAAACUUAGUCUGCUCUCUGAUCAUCUGGAAACAAAGACGGGACUCUGUAUGAUUCUCACAGCCAUGGAAACAAACCAUAGUUUGGAGACAGCCAGUGGGAGGAGCCCAGUCUGGGGAAAGAUGUAUUUAUCCCCAGUGCUAGAUUUACUAGAUUUACACCAGUGCUGAAAAUCUUACAAAAAAAUGGCUAUAACAUGAUGUGAAAUUUUGACUGUAACAUUCUCUCCUUAGUGCUCAGCAGAGUAGCUGAAGCAACACAGGAUGAAGGAGAAAAUCAGAAUAUAAAAUAACAGCAGAACGGUUAAGUCAUAAAAUAGCUUUGAAAUCAUUGGGCACACAACUAAAAUGUGCUUGCCUCGUAUUUUUUCCCUUCCUUGACCAGAUUUAUUCUGCUCUUGUUACCUGUUUGCUGUAUGCCUCAUCACUUUGUGGAGGAAGACCUUUCCAUCUGCAGAUAGAAAAUGAAGGAGUGAACAGUUUGAAUGAGAUCUUCCUAUCAGGAUGAUCCUGGACGGCUGUCAGAGACGUGCUACUUCACCAUCCCAAAUGCACUACGUCUCAGAAGAGGAGGAAGAAGUUUGUGGUGGGGUUGAAUGGAAAUGCUUUCAUAGGAAAAGUGUGGUAUUUUAGUGGAAAUUUCAUAUGGCUCCAAAUGUGGAAUAAAAAGCUAGGUUAAGUGAAUUAAUAUUUCUUAUUUCCAGUCCCCAGCAUUGACAGUCGCAUUGUGUACCAUCUUGCUAUUUCAAAUUUGUAAACCCAUACUAACGAAUAAAUUGUUAUGUUCACC